AAGUGUUACAGCUCUUUUACUAUUUGUCCAGCAGGUUUUUACUGUGUAGGAUCCCCA
ensembl:snRNA U7 U7 small nuclear RNA